rnacentral:lncRNA from 1 species
AGUCUCCACUUCAUCAGGCUUCUGCAUCAACUCAUCAAACAACAACAGAAAAGGCAGCAGCAUCAGGAGGAAAAGCACCAUCAUCAGGUCCACUAAAUGCAGCAGCUGGUUAUAAGUCUUCUGUUGAGAUAUCAAAAUCCGCAGCCACAACAAAAGGAACGAAAUCCGCAGCCACAGUUUCAAAAUCUCUUGUUGAGAAGUCUCCAGCAACAUGUUCAAAG